GCAGUAUUGGGGGGCUAUUGAGCCCUAUGGUUAGGAUCCGUCAGUGGUCUCUGUUUCUUGAUCUGCAGAUGGCACAGAGGGUUAUACAAUCUCACCAAGAUGAAGGCCAAACAACGGAUAUGAUAAUGAUUCAAUCAUAGCUACUUUCCUUGCUGAUAUGUGUGAAGUGCGUUGAAUCCAGAGACAAUGGUACUAUAUAGCUGGCAGGGUCUGCCAUUUGGAUUUGGUUUGUGCAGUAUCAUGUUCAUCAUCAUAAGUUCAAUACUGUUGAAGGCAGAGACAUUUAAGAUUCAAUGAAGAUGGUGAUGACAGUGAAUGGGGAAAUGAUUCAUAUAGUAUAAAUUGUUGGUUUUAUAAUUAAACUUCGUUUUUUAUACGCCAAAUUCAAAAAUGUAUAAAAUUCCUGGAGUUUCUUUAUAAAAACGCAAUGGAUGUUCUCUGGAAAUAUAAAUUUGGGUGAAUAAUUAAGGUCAGGAGUAGAAUUAUGGCCCACAAGGAUAUGGUGCUCACGAUGCAUAUUUGCGCAAAAGUGGGAAUCCUUGGCUGUAUAACAGGUUCACAUGCACAACAACAUUGCAAUGCAUUAGUGGUGUUAGGUGUCUUUUGUAACUUUCUUAUUUAUAUGCUUUGGAAGCUUUGUUUCCAUGUAUUCUCUUUUCAAAUGAUUUGGGCUAGGCUAUUGGUUGAGUUCGAAGUAUUUGAUUAUUCGGAACCGCAUAUA